CAUGAAAUAAGUAUUCAGGUAUACAGAGACGGUGUGUUUUAUACAGAACUUACAAAUGAUGCUAUUUAUAACUAUGACAGUCCUGUAGAGAACAAAUACCUGCUUUCUGCUUGUCGAUAUUAUGAAUUUUUCAGCGUAUGGAAUGAUAUAAAAAAGCUGAACACGUGAUAUCUCGUUUCUGAUAGUUUGAAUUACUAGUGAUUAAAUACUUGCAUUCUUGUAGAUGAAAUGCAAAUUAGGUCUAGUAGACAAAUUUCCCUUGAUUUAUUAUUUUUAAAGAAGGCUGUUUUCAAACAGUCUAUCAAAUCUUGACCUAACUGCACACUUUCACAGCGUCAUGUGUGUAUAUUGAGGUUCUUACAAUAUUAUGGCGUAUUUGUAACAAUAUGAGCGAACUAAAUGUGGUUAAAUAGAAAGAUGAAGAUUGCAACAGAAGAGUAUAUGUACAAAAAAUGUAUACGAAUAACAUUCUUAAACAAAACCAAAAUUCAAAUUGAAGUAAAGUGAUAUACCGGUAUAAUUUAUCAAGCACAAAUUAAAAUGUUUUGAUUAAAGAUCUCCGCGAUGUCAACUUUCACCAAAUCAUUUUAAGUGUGCAUAAUUGGCCCAUCUAUCUACAAAGAAGUUAUAGAACAGGUUUUGUAUCAAAUAUGAAUGGACGAAGCAGUGCUUUGUGAAGUAUUCACGUCACAAUUAACAUGAAAUUCAUCUUCAUCAAGUUACAAUUAAAAGUGGUCAAUGUUAUCGUAAAAUAAACUUUCCUCCAUAUACUUAUUUUCUGAAUGGGCAAUGUUUUAGUAUUUGACCAAAAUUAUUAGAGUUUGGAUACCAGUAGAAAAGUAAAGGGCAUCAUAUUCGCUACCACAUAAGAAAUUUGGAUUUUUUAUAGUGUAUUCUUAUCUUGACAAAUGAUAUAACUCGAAUGGACUCGCUUUACAGCUUGACAUAUUUUGUUUAUAUCUGUCUAAUGACUGCAUAAUACUCUCUAUUCGUCUUUUGGUUUAUUGUGUAGAUGGGUUGUCUCAUGGACGUAUUUUCUACAUCACCCUCUUUCAUGUUUGUAGUAAUGAUGAAAAAAGAACUCACCAAAGA